AUCGCAAUCAGCACCAAGCUGCUGUUGCCCUGAUGGGAACCACACGUGCGACUGGUGUGCAAACGGAACACGGCCAGAUACAAUGAAUCUUCUUCACAUAGGAUUCGCUUCUCUUCGGAGGAGCCGAUGACGGAGAGAGUGACGAGAGGAAACCGGAACGGGAACAGAGUCUGGUCAAACGUCGACACCGUGGGAAAAGACGCGCGGCGCGGGACGCCACCGGCACCUAUAUAAAUACAAUCUUCAUCCACAUGUUCAGCCACAGGCAUACAGAGCAGAGUUCAGAAGCAAAUAAUAGAGCAUACCAUCGUACGUAUUUGCGCUGCACAAUCUGCAUCCAGUUUCCACAAGAUGGUAGCGAGCAAGAUGGUGGCGAAGGAGGCGAUCCCGUUGCUGACGACGCACAGGAUGGGCCGGUUCGAGCUCUCCCACCGGGUGGUGCUCGCGCCGCUCACGCGCUGCCGCUCCUAGGCCAACGUGCCGCAGCCGCACGCCGCGGUGUACUACUCGCAGCGGGCCACCAAGGGCGGCCUCCUCAUCGCCGAGGCCACCGGCGUUUCCGCCACCGCGCAAGGGUACGCGGAGACCCCCGGCAUCUGGACGCAGCAGCAGGUCGACGCCUGGAAGCCCAUCGUCGACGCCGUCCACCGCAAGGGCGCUCUGUUUUUCUGUCAGCUUUGGCACGUCGGGAGGGUCUCCACCAACGAUUUCCAGCCGGACGGACAGGCGCCGAUAUCAAGCACUGACAAGCAGAUAAUGCCCGAUGCCGAGUCUGGCAUGGUCUAUUCCAAGCCCCGACAGCUUCAAACGGACGAGAUACCGCUGAUCGUCGACGACUUCAGACGCGCUGCCCGGAAUGCCAUCGAGGCGGGGUUCGACGGCGUGGAGAUCCACGGGGCACAUGGGUACCUAUUGGAGCAGUUCAUGAAAGACAGCUCUAACGAUCGCACCGACGAGUAUGGUGGCAGCCUCGAGAACCGAUGCCGCUUUGCGGUGGAAGUAAUUGAUGCUAUCGUCAAUGAAAUUGGUGCUGAUCGUGUAGGCAUCAGGUUGUCUCCAUUCAUGGACUAUAUGGACUGCUUCAACUCCGACCCACAUGCACUCGGGAUGUCUAUUCCCAUAUGGUAGAGCCGCGGAUGACCAUUGUGGAUGGCAGCAGACAGAUACCCCACGGGCUCCUGCCCUUUAGGAAAGCAUUCAACGGCACUUUCAUUGCCGCUGGAGGAUAUGAUCGAGAGGAAGGCAACAAAGUGGUGGCGGACGGCUAUGCUGAUCUCGUUGCUUACGGGAGGAUCUUUCUGGCUAAUCCAGAUUUGCCAAAGAGAUUCGAGCUCGACUCACCAUUGAACAAGUACAACAGUAACACUUACUACACGCAAGAUCCUGUCAUUGGCUACACAAAUUAUCCUUUCCUUGAAGGCUCGAAUGCCGAGUAGUUCACCCACUUGACUUGAAUUAGUGAUAUGCUUGAUUUUAUGAAGUAUGUAAUGAUUUAUUCAAUGUGUGUAUGUACGGGGCAUGUGCAUUGUAUCAUUUCCACCAAUAA